GAUGAAGAACGCAGCGAAAUGCGAUAAGUAAUGUGAAUUGCAGAAUUCAGUGAAUCAUCGAAUCUUUGAACGCACCUUGCACCCUUUGGCAUUCCGAAGGGUAUGCUCGUUUGAGUGUCAUUGUACUCUCACACUUCCAAUUCUUUGGAUUGGGAGCGGUGGACUUGGGUGCUGCUGCUUACCGUGGCUCACCUCAAAUGUGUUAGUGCAACCGUUGGUUAGACAUAGUACAGCGUGAUAAGUAUCUUCGCUGGCGCCUCACCAGAGGGUGGCUGAUCAGGGCUCUGUGCUUCCAAUCGUCUUCGGACAAUCGCUGACAACUUGACCUCAAAUCGAGUAGGACUACCCGCUGAACUUAAGCAUAUCAAUAAGCGGAGGA
rnacentral:misc_RNA from 1 species